rnacentral:misc_RNA from 1 species
UCAGGGGAGGCCUCCGUGUCC